UGGGGAAUAUUGCACAAUGGGCGCAAGCCUGAUGCAGCCAUGCCGCGUGUGUGAAGAAGGCCUUCGGGUUGUAAAGUAUUUUCAGCGGGGAGGAAGGUGGUAAGGUUAAUAACCUUAUCAAUUGACGUUACCGACAGAAGAAGCACCGGCUAACUCCGUGCCAGCAGCCGCGGUAAUACGGAGGGUGCAAGCGUUAAUCGGAAUUACUGGGCGUAAAGCGAGCGCAGGCGGUUUCUUAAGUCUGAUGUGAAAGCCCCCGGCUCAACCGAGGGGGGUCAUUGGAAACUGGGGGACUUGAGUGCAGAGGAGGGGGGGGGGAUUCCAUGUGUGGCGGUGAAAUGCGUAGGUAUAUGGAGGAACACCAGUGGCGAAGGCGGCUCUCUGGUCUGUAACUGACGCUGGGGCUCGAAAGCGUGGGGAGCAAACAAG
rnacentral:rRNA from 1 species